AACGAACGCUGGCGGCAUGCCUAACACAUGCAAGUCGAACGGUGCCUCCGGGCGUAGUUGCGCACGGGGGCGUAACGCGGGGGAAGCGGCCUUUCGGUUCCGAAUACUUCAGUGUAACUUGAGCUAAUACCGGAUAACGUCGCAAGACACAAGAUUUGUCGCCGUAGGAUGAGCCCGCGUAGGCUUAGCUGGUUGGUGAUGUAAAGGCGCAUCAAGGCGAGGAUCCUUAGCUGGUCUGAGAGGAAGGUCCGCCACUCUGGGACUGAGCCACGGCCCAGACUCCUACGCGAGGGAGCAGAGGGGAAUAUAGCACUAUGGGGGAAGGCCAGAUCGCGCCCUGCCGGGUAAGUCAUUCUGGGGGUAGAGUUGUGCAGCUGUUUUACCCGGGGCGGUAAUGACGGUACCGGGAGAAUAAGCACCGGCUAACUCCGUG
rnacentral:rRNA from 1 species